AGAGUUUGAUCCUGGCUCAGAUUGAACGCUGGCGGCAGGCCUAACACAUGCAAGUCGAACGGUAGCACAGAGAGCUUGCUCUUGGGUGACGAGUGGCGGACGGGUGAGUAAUGUCUGGGAAACUGCCCGAUGGAGGGGGAUAACUACUGGAAACGGUAGCUAAUACCGCAUAACGUCUUCGGACCAAAGUGGGGGACCUUCGGGCCUCACACCAUCGGAUGUGCCCAGAUGGGAUUAGCUAGUAGGUGGGGUAACGGCUCACCUAGGCGACGAUCCCUAGCUGGUCUGAGAGGAUGACCAGCCACACUGGAACUGAGACACGGUCCAGACUCCUACGGGAGGCAGCAGUGGGGAAUAUUGCACAAUGGGCGCAAGCCUGAUGCAGCCAUGCCGCGUGUAUGAAGAAGGCCUUCGGGUUGUAAAGUACUUUCAGUGGGGAGGAAGGCGAUGAAGUUA
rnacentral:rRNA from 1 species